rnacentral:rRNA from 1 species
UACGAAGGGGGCUAGCGUUGCUCGGAAUCACUGGGCGUAAAGCGCACGUAGGCGGAUUGCUAAGUCAGGGGUGAAAUCCUGGAGCUCAACUCCAGAACUGCCUUUGAUACUGGCGAUCUUGAGUCCGGGAGAGGUGAGUGGAACUGCGAGUGUAGAGGUGAAAUUCGUAGAUAUUCGCAAGAACACCAGUGGCGAAGGCGGCUCACUGGCCCGGUACUGACGCUGAGGUGCGAAAGCCAGGGGAGCGAACGGG